AAAUAUUUAGUUUAAAAAAACAUUAAAUUGCAAAUUUAAAAAUAUAUAUUAAUAUAUAUAUAUAAUAUUUA
rnacentral:tRNA from 1 species